AAGCACUGUGACGUCACCAAUGACGCUGUGUUAGGCAAGAAGGUCAGGAGCGGCCGGCGCCGCGUUAGUGUCGGGCUGACAGCCAGCAGACGUGGUUCCUUAGGCGGUGUCCCGCUUCUUACAUCAUUUGCAGCUACACCGGUCAUCAGCACAGCACGAGGAUAUGGUCGUUAAGCACUGUGACGUCACCAAUGACGUUGGGCAAGAAGGUCAGGAGCGGCCGGCGCCGCGUCAGUGUCGGGCUGACAGCCAGCAGACGUGGUUCCUUAGGCGGUGUCCCGCUUCUUACAUCAUUUGCAGCUACACCGGUCAUCAGGGUCUGGCUCGACAAUGGCCACGAGUCUUCUUGAGAAGUAACUUAAAGUGAACGGAGGACUAGUCACGAGGAACGAAUCUAGUUCUGGCGUGACGUAGCUGCAAGUCUCGAUAGAGGUGGUUGGACGGUGUUGAACACGGCGGCUGGCAACGUUGCAGGAAUAUCUGAAAGAAA
rnacentral:misc_RNA from 1 species